rnacentral:tRNA from 1 species
GGACCAGUGGCCGAGCGGUAAGGCAUCGGACUUUUAAUCCGUCGAAUGUGGGUUCGAGUCCCACCUGGUCCU